CACUUUCUGCAUCCUGUGUCAGGCUACUCAAGUCAUUACCAGAAUGCUGCGCCUUUUUUUACACAGAAGGACAUCCUCAGAGUCCUUUGAGUUUUUCCAUCCUUAGGCAAAAUCAAUCACACUCCUCCUCCUAUUGAUUAUAUUGUAUUAAGUAUGUGACCUGUGAUGACAAAGAGAAAAAGUUACAGACAUAAUCUAUAUUCUUUGCUUCCUGAAUACAAUACAUUUUAAAAACAUUCUUGUUUGCCAGCCCUUUUUUUAAAAAGAAAGGCAGACUCACUCAGAAAUAUUCAUAGAUGCAAAAUCUUAACUUUGCUUCUCUAUACAACCCAAUCAAGAAGUGUUUUCCCCCCUGUGGGGUAUAAAGUGUGAAACGUGUAUUUACAAAACUGCGUUGAGCGGACUGGUGCGGGGGAUGUGAGAAGUGUACCAACACUGUGAGCGUGUUCAUUCAUUAUGGAAAUGACAAAAUAGAGCUGUCUGAAGGCAUGAAAGGUUAUGAUCACUGUAUCAAGAGUACAACACUGAAGUUUACUGGCAUAGCCCCUGAACAGUCACACUAAUCACAAAAGGAACUACAGACAGGACAGUUUGGCCAAGCGCAGCUGCUCUACACUAAACACACUUGCUCACACUUGUACAAACUGUAUUUACAGACUGCUCUGUGAGAUACAGGUACACGUUUUGCAUUUUUGAGUAACUGGGACUGUUUUUGAGGGGAUACAAUUUAGGAAAAUAUGCUCAAUCAAUCUUAUCGCUCUCAUUGUAGUAUAAAACAUCCAUCAUAAAGUGCAUUUCAAAUGCUCAUCAGCUAAUUAGGAUAUUUGCAUAAUUUAUUACUUCCUGGUCUCUGUUGUUCAGUUUUAUGUGGGAUUUUCUUUGUAUGUUACAACAUUACCACCAUCAACGAUCUACCAUAAAGUCACAGUAAAAUACCAGGAAAAAAUACGCGAUAUGUUAAAUACAUAUUUCACAACAUGUAGUGAAUCAAACCCUGUAUACAAACAUAACCUUUUAAGCAACAACAGCAAAAACAGUUACUUUCUGCAGGCAUUGUGUAGCUAAAUAUAUCUAGAAUAAUAUUACUACCAAUAAAGUGCCCACAAAUUCACUGUUAAACAGUGUCACUAGUCAAGAGUUUCAAAAAGCAGCCCUACAAUUGUAGGUUUAGACAGUUUAAAACUAUGAUAUUCAACUACUUUGUGAAUAAUACAUCACUUGGUAAAAAAUAAAUAAAAAAAAAAUUACCCAAAUAGCAUUUACUACUAUGUUUGAUUAAAUAGUAAUUUCUAAACAACAAUUUAUCAAUUGCCACUGAAUAAAUAAUAGGGAAAUGGAUUGUAUUGCAAUGCUUAGUUAGAAUACAUUUACUGUUAAUGUAAUGGGCCCUUGCACAUGCUGGUUCAUAUGUCCAGUGUAAAAGUUGUUUGCUUUUUGGAUCUGGAAAUAUAAUACUUAAUUGAAAGUGGGGAUGAUUUGGACCUUUGAGCAAAUAAUCAUGACCUAGGAGUGUAAACACAUUUCCAUUUUAACUUUUUGACAUAUUUCUUUAUUCAUCUAUAUUUCUUCCCAUCCUGUCUGUUUAGUUUGCGUGCCACUUCCUUUUUCUCUUCCCGUAUCAUGCUGUAGUUUAUGUGUGUCAUGGGUUUUUGUGUCCUAUUAGUUCACAAGAUGCGCUGAGAAAAAUGGAAAGUGGAAAAUGUAAUCAGAUGGUUAGACAUCAUAAUGAUACAGCUCAUCGUUACAGGAAUUUACGCAAACACGAUACAGCAAACUCACUGAAGAUGUAAAUAUGCUAUUGUUUAAACAACCAAUACGUUUCAAAUGAUUAAGUGCUCAUAUAAAUACUGAUGGAAGAACAGGGUUUAUAAUUCAUGUGAGGUGGACAGGGUCAGUCGAGCAAAGGGAGCAGAUGGAUGGAUGGUGGCUGAUUCGUCCCUUUUGACUGGGAUUUAAGACAGCCCCAUAUACUAACAAUACACGGAGCGUAACUGCCAUAAUAUGACGUAAUAAGCUACAUCUCAAGUGAGUUCUGGGGUUCCCAUUGGAGAACAUCUACUGCCAGAUACAGACAGAAAAGAGGGUGUUACCUCUAAAUUUAGGUCUGUCUAAAGGAUAGCACAGGCUCGUAGGAGGUUUAGAAGGAAAUUCUGGUGUUAUGGGCAAAAUGUUAUGGAUUUAACAAAGAUGACAAUAAGAGCUACGCAGGUGGAGCAUCCAUAACUCUAUCUCCAACAAUCUGGAGACUUUAUCCUAUAUCUAGCCUCAAACCAAACCCUGCAUUCGAAAAGUAGUGCUGUAAAUUAAGCCACAGCCUGGAUCUUUCCCAAAACAUGAUCUCAUGGGUGCUCUCCCAACAAAGAAAAAACUAUGAAAACUGUAAACAAGAGAAGAAGCUAAUGAGAAGAUAGGUUUUAAAGGGACAGGCUGUGUUGAAAUCAGAGUCCUUCUCCUUCUAGUGUACUGGUUUGCACCCAUCUCAUAGCUGAGUGAAUGGGACAAGCUGGGUUGAGUGUGAGGACAUGGCGGACCCCAGAGAAACACUGAGAGAGGUGCUGCGAUGUGGGUGGGGGUGGCUGCCACUCAGGGAGGACCAGGAGAUGAUUUUAGCGCCGUGGUCCGUGCGAGCUCAUGCGUUCUCGC
rnacentral:lncRNA from 1 species